rnacentral:rRNA from 1 species
CAGCAGCCACGGUAAUACGAAGGGGGCUAGCGUUGUUCGGAAUUACUGGGCGUAAAGCGCGUGUAGGCGGGCUUUUAAGUCAGGGGUGAAAUGCCAAGGCUCAACCUUGGAACUGCCUUUGAUACUGGAAGUCUUGAGUCCGGGAGAGGUGAGUGGAACUGCGAGUGUAGAGGUGGAAUUCGUAGAUAUUCGCAAGAACACCAGUGGCGAAGGCGGCUCACUGGCCCGGAACUGACGCUGAGACGCGAAAGCGUGGGGAGCAAACAGGAUUAGAGACCCGUGUAGUCCCUGUCUCUUAUAC